GUACACUCCUGCGGGAGGCAGCAGUGGGGAAUAUUGGACAAUGGGCGCAAGCCUGAUCCAGCCAUGCCGCGUGAGUGAUGAAGGCCCUAGGGUUGUAAAGCUCUUUCACCGGUGAAGAUAAUGACGGUAACCGGAGAAGAAGCCCCGGCUAACUUCGUGCCAGCAGCCGCGGUAAUACGAAGGGGGCUAGCGUUGUUCGGAUUUACUGGGCGUAAAGCGCACGUAGGCGGACUAUUAAGUCAGGGGUGAAAUCCCGGGGCUCAACCCCAGAACUGCCUUUGAUACUGGUAGUCUUGAGUUCGAGAGAGGUGAGUGGAAUUCCGAGUGUAGAGGUGAAAUUCGUAGAUAUUCGGAGGAACACCAGUGGCGAAGGCGGCUCACUGGCUCGAUACUGACGCUGAGGUGCGAAAGCGUGGGGAGCAAACAGGAUUAGAUACCCCAGUAGUCCCAUGAU
rnacentral:rRNA from 1 species